rnacentral:lncRNA from 15 species
GCCCUGCUGUCUGUCUCUGUGUGAGCAUCAACAGAUAUAAAGAUGUCCCUCAGUUGUCUCCGGGCUUCUGACCCAAACGUCAGCGUUGUGGAUGUUCUGUACUACCAGAACCGGGACCAUGAGAACCUGUAUGAGGGGAGCGGUGCACCUCCACUCUGCUCCUCCUCCCCCCCGCCUCCCCCCUCCGGCUGCAUGGUCUGUUCCAACCGGUCCGUCCUCGUCGUUUGCUCCGAGCUGCAGCAGGAUGAGGAGCUGGUGAUGGAGGGAGCGGGUCGACACAUCGCCAUUACAGCGAGUGAGUGUCCCAGACUCCUUUCUGAAGUCAUAAAUAAAAAUGCUGACUCAUCUGGAGACCAGCAGGCUGAUUGGUGGCCGCUCCUCCUCGUCUUCCUCAUCCUCUUCAUCGUCUUGGUGGCUUCCUACAAACUCUGGAAAUGUAGAAGACAAUGAAGAAGCAGAGGAGUGCAGACCGCAGCCGACUCCAACCAGCUGAACCCUGUCGCUGUCCAACUUUAAUUCAGAUCAUCAAAUAUAUGAAAUUAAAAUGCUUCUUGCUUUUAACCUGUUAUUGUUUCAUUAUUACAACUUAUUGUGAAUUGUUCAUCACAUUCACUCCUUCUGUAUCACUGGGGAUCCAACAGUGGAAAUCAAACUCAAUGAUCAUUAACCGUGUGAAUAAAAGUCCUCCACAGGUGAGUUCAGGUGUAACAGCAGGUAAACACAGACGUUACCAUGGAUACUGGAAACACUCUGAUACACUAAAUGGAACUGAGCCUUAAUCAUCGUUGGUAACACCUUUAUAAUUAUUGAUGCAUUAAUGUGUUUAAUGCUGCUGUUAAUUAGGUCGUCCAGCUCCCAAUUAAGGGUUGCCAUGGCGAUGGUCUCCUGGGCUUCAUUUCAUUGAGAUUUUAUCUGAGAUUCACUAAAAGUAAAUUGUCUAAUAGAAUAAAAGUGUCAGGGAGCAGAAAUACGAGGUAUUAAUCAAAAAUACAGAAUAGAGACAGAAAUGUAUAAAAAGGGAAACAAUCUGCUCACAAUUCAUCCAAAUAACUUCCUGCAGUUACUUUCAAUAUAAGAUGAAAUAUCAAUAAAUAUGUGACAUAACAGACAUUGAAUCCAUCAUUGAGGUCCAGUUCAGGGUCAGUGUGAGUUUAUUAAAGCACUGUGGUGAACUUACAGACAGAAUGUAAAUGGUAGUGAGCAGACGG